rnacentral:lncRNA from 1 species
CAAAUGUGCUCAAGUUCACUAAUACUGUGCUUGGUGCACAGCCUCUGGGAUAAGCCAGUAAGUUGAGAAAAGAACAAAACCCCCGGUGGGAUGGUUUUGCAUCCGCAUAUAAAUCUAGAAUUCAUCUCUGCAUACGAAUUGGCUUGCCCCUGAGUAUGAGAUGCUGAGGAUGGACCAAAUGAAAGAAUUCAUACCAGUUGGAGCAGGAAACAAGGAGGAGAAAAUGGACUUUCAGCUACAGCAUGGCCUGAGUGUGGGUAUUUCCAUGGAAAUUCCCCCCACCCUCUCUUUCUUCACCUGUUUGAGGAGAACAAGGAUGGAAACUUUACUUCUGCAGAAAAAAGGUAAGGGGGAUUUCCAUCAUUGCAAACAGGGUCAUUUGGGAUGAAUAGGGCAAGCUGGAUAAAUAUCCAUGGCAUCAGGACCCUAGGGAGGAUUUCUGGGGCUGGUAAGAUUUUACUAUUUGUUUGUUUUUUUGUUCUAUCUGUGGAAACUGUCAAACGAUAAACUUUGUCAAAAUGUUUGUGUAAUGAGGCAGAGUAAAUAAGUGAAUAUAGUCUGUGUAUAGCAAAGUUGGGGGAAAGUAUUAUUCCUCUCUAGAGAGGUCUAAUUAUAGCAAUGAAUUAUAUUUUAUAUACAGACCUUCCUAAAUUAAAAAAAUUAUUUUUUAAUUGGAGUAUAAUUGCUUUAUAAUGUUGUAUUAGUUUCUGCUGUACAAUGAAGUGAAUCAGUUAUGUGUGUGUAUAUAUAUCCCAUCCUUUUGAGCCUCCCUCUUCCCUCACCUCUCCAUUCCACCCCUCUAGGUCUUCACAGGUCACUGAACUGAGCUCCCUGUGCUGUAUAUGCUGAUCUUCUUUGUUCUUGGUUCAAAUGUAAAUUGAUGGUCAGCAUAUCAUUGAUUAUAUCUGAAGAGCUUCAAAGAGGAUCUCAGAUUGGUGACCUCUGGGUUUGUAUGACCUCUAUGAGCCUCAGGUUGUCUUUCUGCAAAUUGGGCUGGAAGAUGAUCAGAGGCUGUGGGAAGUGGUUCUUUGUUUGAAGCUGGUCUUGAUGCUCUUCCUGAUCUCAAAAUGCAAAAAGAAAAAACAAAAUUGUUUUUAUGAGAAAUAAGAACUGGCUAUUUUCCCGAUGAGGCUGAGGAACUUGUCUCCUAGUAGAUGAGAAUCCGUAAGAGAUACUAAAAAGCUUCCUUCACUCACAUGUUUAUGAACAAAGUAUCUGCUUAGCAUGAUUAAGUACGAGUCUCUGGGCUCAGUAUGCCAAGAAGUACGAUGCUGUGCAACGUGGCUGCUGUAAGGUGGAGAUGCUCCUCAGCCUGAUUUAUGGAGCCUCCAGAUGGGAGCAUGGACCGCUGAGCUAGUUACGGGGUUUGGAAGGAGAGUGCGUCCCCU